rnacentral:misc_RNA from 1 species
UUUCCGCAGGUGAACCUGCGGAAGGAUCAUUAUUGUAUAACCGAGGUGCGAGGGCUGUCGCUGACCCGAAAGGUCGUGCACGCCCGAGUGCCCUCACACACAUCCAUCUCACCCCUAUGUGCACCACCGCGUGGGUCCCCCUUUGGCUUGUUCGGAGGGGGGCUUACGUUUUCACACAAACUUUGUAUGCAGUGUAGAAUGUAUUUUUUGUUUUUGCGAUCACGCAAUCAAUACAACUUUCAACAACGGAUCUCUUGGUUCUG